UGUGUUGUGUGUGAUGUCGAUGUUGUAGUACGUGGUGUUGUGUGUGUGUUUUAGGGUUAUGGUUAUGGUGCAAGAGCGGCGGUGAAGGAUGUUGAGCUGAUGAUGGCGAUGUUCUCGCCUGGAACGUAAUCGGGAAAUUAUGUGAGAGCAAAUGGCCGCAGCGUAUUUACAUCUGCUUUUUGCUGAAUAGCGAGAAGGGCCGUAAUGAAUUCCCCCUUGGUGUUGGGUGUCAACAUCAUCGCCUGCGACGAACGGCCAGCACGGAGGGAGGAGGCCUUGCCAGCCUCUCCUGGCGCUGGAGGUGCGGUUUCUGCGGGCGGCGAGCGAAGGUUAGUGCUAUUGGAGCAGGCCGAACGACGCGGGGCUACGGCCGGGGGAACGUCGCCUGGCAUUCUGUGCGGGGGGGGGGGGGAUUGGAGAUUCCGAUUCGGAAAGAAGGGAAUAUCCGUGGCUUCACCUGCGUCACUGAGCCGCAUGCGGAGAGCGGGAUGUGCGGCGGCAGCGGGACGGCGGGAGCGGGCCAGCAGCGCGGCGGCCGGACGCCACCCAGUCAGCGAGGCAGCCGGGCAGCCAGUGAGCGAGUGUGGCUAUUGCAGCACCUUCUCCCUCCUCCUUCUCCUCCCUCAUCCCUCCUCCGCCACCGCCGCCACCACCACCAGCCCCGCCACUACUACCGACCAGUCCCCGCCCUGACUGCCUCACAGACAGCAGUCCGCGCGCACUCUCGUCUCGUUGCGAUCCUUCUGAAUGCGGAUUCAGUGCCGAUUUCUUGACGAAUUUCGCCGCUCUGUGUGUGUGUGAUAAUCCGGAACCCAGUGCUUGGCCUCGUGUGCCGCCGCUCGUUUUGUUCUUGUUUUUGUUUUCCGUGAAUAUCCAAACCAAUAACAGGUUGCACACAUGACCAAUAGUCGUAAUAAGAGAAAGUUUCAUGUUUGUUAUUGACAGUCGCGUGUUGUUGAUACCUAUUGCCAUGGUCAGUUUAUCGCUGUGAUAACACUCAGGGCAGCACAUUCCCUCAGUGUUCCCAGGAUGUGCUCGCUAGUGCUGUGCGUUUCGGAGCUGUAAAGUGUGUUAGAAAAGUGACGCUAUUAUUUUUGUCAACCUCUGCUGCUCCCUCCUUCCCGCUCUACCCCGCCCCCCCCCUACUCGAAGAAAGGGUUGAAGAGAGGGUUUGAAGGAGCCUGUUGGGAGACGGGCGAGAGUAAGCUCGUAUUUUCUUGGGCGUCUUGGAGGCGACUUCUGGACGUGUGGGUGUGUUGGAUUCGCGUCGACGACUGUGGAGUGAAGGUAAUGAACCGCGCCGCGCACUCAGCGGGAACAGCAGAAGGUAAUUAACUAAUUAUGGUAGAGAGAGGGAGAGAGAGGGAAAGAGGGAGACAAAAAAGUCCGAUAAAUUAGCGGUGAGUAAAUAGCAGGAAGUGAAGAUGGGAUGGG